UCCCGGCGCGGAGAGGCGAGUGCCCGGCUGGGGGUGCCGAGAUGGGGCUCCCCUUCCGCAGCUCCGACACCCCCCUCUCCCCCCGCCUUCAGCCUGUCACUGCUUUCUCUGCGACAGCUGCGUCAUGAAGCAGAAGUGGAAGAAGCUUUGCAGAGGAUGCUGGAGGGGUGAGAUAGAGAGGAAGUUUUUCCUCAUUCCCCUGGCAAGAAGUGACUCUGCUGGCUGUCUGCUGUCCUUGAUGGCACACAGGGGAAAUCUGUGAGCAGGUGACACCAAACUGAAAGCUGCACAAGGGGAUCAGGAGACGAGGGAAUGGAACAGAAAAAGGAAGAGAGCAAGCAGUGUGACAGAAUAAACACUGCAGGUGGAGCAGGUUUCUUAGCUGCUGGCCUUCUUUGGAGAAGAAUGCACUUUGCAAGUGCAUGCAGCCAGUGAUACUGAGAGCAGGUCUCCUUAGAACCAAAAUGCUAUUUAGAAUCACAGUCUGAAGAUGCCAGGGACCACGAAGAGCCACACUGAGAGACUUGUGGCUCUCUGAGAAGUGUCUGGAUUCUUGCAGUGCCUUCAUGGCAGUGGACACACCAAGUUAUGCUGAUGAGAAGAUUAAGCAUAGGGAGACUGAAUGACUUGCCCAAAGCCAGAAAGUCUGUGGCUUCUUAAAUUACUGCAAUCAUCUUCAGUCUUCUUGGAAAUGUACUCUUCCCUCCCCUUGGGAAUGUGUGUAGAAACAUUGCAACCUUUUUUCAGGUUUCCAGAGGUGAAUUCACAUAUUUAUACCUGAUGCAGUUGCCAAUGCUCAGAGUGGUUUCCUUACUGCUUCUGUUUGUUUGGCUGUGAGAUUCCUGCCGUGGGUUCUUGAGUCCUCGGAAUGAUUGGUUUUUCUCUAGUACCUGAGAGAAAGGACAAUGAGCCUCUUUGAUUUGAAAAUCCAUAGCACAGCUGGAGGAGGAGGUUCCACCCCCCAUUCCACCCCCACCACACAAGCCAAGUGCCAGGCUCUGCCAGCUCAGCACUGCUGCUGUCACUCUUUCCUGUUCUGCAAUGUGCAAACAGCCCGGUGACGUAGCGGGGUAACGCUGUUUGAACAGCCUCUCCAGUCAAGGAUUUUUCCAAAAUAAAUUGGACAGGAAUUAAUGGAUGUGCAUGUGAGUGCAGUAUUGCACAGCGCAGGUGGGACAGAAAAUGCAGCACGUUAUGGUAGGAAAUGAGGAAGGAACAUUUUCUCAGCAAACCUGGAUGAGCUGGCAGGUGGUGGCAGAGUAGAAGGAGGACAGGCUUUGCAGGAUGGAUGGAGUUGGUAAUAUCCUGUGAGUGAGCUGUGGAAGAAGAUGGUGAAAGGAGUCUCACCUACAUGAUGCUAUUUAACACUGAUUGCCUACCUAAAGGCUCCCUUCCCACCUUUCCUUUUGCUCCAUCACUUGUACCAGUCCUCUAGACCCUCUGCCAUUCUGCCAUGGAGCAGUUCUCUCUGCCUGGGUGGGCAGACAGCUUCCUCCUCCUAUGAAGCAAAUGGAGUGUUUCAUCCAUCACACACUGGGCAAAAUUGGGGCCUUCCUCACUUUUUGUCACUCAGUUUCUUGAUUUCCUGCAGAUUGCUUCAUAUUGCCAGCUCUGUCAUUUUAUCUGACAGCACCUUCCGUGCCCUGCUUUCUCAAAAUCACCUGUGAAAUUGGUGAGCAAAUAAUUUUGAACAAAUCGAUCUUGAACAGUUUGCUACUGGAGGAAAGAACUUGUGAGUUAUUGCUCAUGGAAUGCUAUCCCUUGUAGAGGCUCAAAACACGUUCUGUGUGUGAUUUCCUAGGGCCUGCUUUGAGAAGAUUGCCUAGGUUGGGACCAGGCACUUUCUCUCCUCCCUGCAUAGAUGUGGACCAUGGUGUUUAUUUGCCAGCUAGAGUAGCAGUGACCUCUGGAUCUGCAGUCCUUGGACAGUGUGUCAAAGUGGGACAGGAAUAUUUGUAUUUCCUCUUGGAGAAAUGCCUGAUAACACAAGAUUUCUUUGGGAUGCAUUUUCUGGACAGUCUCUAUUGGCCUGUAGCACUGGGGGACCUGGUUCUGGUAAAUUAAUGAGGCUGGUAUAUCUCUGAAAUCUAGGGAAGAGAGGAUGAAGGAGGAAGAAGGGUAAGACUUCAAGGGCUCAGUCUCUGGGAGGACUCCUGGUAAGGGAAGUUGAAUUGCUGCCUUGAGGGUCCCUCUCUUCAGCAGGGAGUUGGUCUGUGCUGUUUGGAGCGUGCCAGCAGCAGCACAGGCUUCAUUUCUCAGAUGGGGUUUCCUUCAUGCAGGAUCACACCCUCCUCAGUAGCUGCUCUCAUGUGAACACCUGAACCCUUGUGUGGGGCUCCUGUCCCAGGAGGCUCCUGCCUCGCUGCCAUCAUGGGGUGGCCAGGCUGAGCAUGGCAGGGGAUCCUAUUUUCCUCUAAGUCCUGACUGCACACCAGGAGCAGAGAGUGCUGUGGUGGUGACUGUGUUUGCUUGAGGCUCAUGUUACUUUGCUAAGCCCUGGCUGAGGCAGACGUCCCCAAAGUAGCUCUGUGUGUGCAUUCCUCCAGAGCUGGCUGUGAAGUGAUACCUUUGUGGGACAAGGUGAAACAGUUCAAGCCCCAAAAUAUUCUUUCAUAUGGACGCCUUCUGAAUGACCUCUGUUUGCAAAGCAAUCCUGGUCAAAUGGAAAACCUGACCUCUCCUGGUAUGCCCUAUUGAAGCGA